rnacentral:misc_RNA from 1 species
GUGAAGUUGUUGAAGUUCCCUCCGAACUAUCAUCAGCUGGAGGGGAUUUUGGAGACAAGCGCAGUCCAAAUCCACUAGUAAAACGGGCAAAACUUGAUUUCCCAGAAUUUCCAGUUGGUGAACCAUCUUGUGAGGAAGACAAUGGCUGGGGAAUUUUCAAACUUUUGGCCCAAGAUGCUAAGCCAGGUGCAGAUAGCUUAGAAGGUGCAUCACGUGGGGAAUUAUCUGUUCCAGGAUCACUUGCAGCAUGAGGUUGUACAUUGGGAGCUUUAACAGAUGGAGUUGAUGAAUCAACAGAUCCAGAAUCCAUUCCCCUGACUUAGAUAUCUUGAUGAUUAUCUGCAGAGACUCCAAGCGGAGCAUAAGCCACAAGCUUAGUGUAGCUGAAUUAGGGUUCAAAGAGAGAGAGAGAGAGAAAGAGAAGGAGGGAGAGAAGAGAAUGAGUAUAAAGUUUUUUUUUUUUUUUUCUUUUCCUUUU